rnacentral:rRNA from 1 species
AGUGAACGCUGGCGGUAGGCCUAACACAUGCAAGUCGAACGGCAGCACAGUAAGAGCUUGCUCUUACGGGUGGCGAGUGGCGGACGGGUGAGGAAUACAUCGGAAUCUACUUUUUCGGGGGGGAUAACGUAGGGAAACUUACGCUAAUACCGCAUACGACCUACGGGGGAAAGUAGGGGAUCUUCGGACCUUGCGCGAUUGAAUGAGCCGAUGUGGGAUUAGCUAGUUGGCGGGGUAAAGGCCCACCAAGGCGACGAUCCGUAGCUGGUCUGAGAGGAUGAUAAGCCACACUGGAACUGAGACACGGUCCAGACUCCUACGGGAGGCAGCAGUGGGGAAUAUUGGACAAUGGGCGCAAGCCUGGUCCAGCCAUACCGCGUGGGUGAAGAAGGCCUUCGGGUUGUAAAGCCCUUUUGUUGGGAAAGAAAAGCAGCAGGUUAAUACCCCGCUGUUCUGACGGUACCCAAAGAAUAAGCACCGGCUAACUUCGUG